GGUGAAAUACAGAUGAAAUCCAAACCAAAAAAGCCUUUUCUCUUGGGUCCUCAGCGACUCUCGUCAGCGCAUUCAAUGUCUGAUUUAUCUGGGUCCCAUAUGUCUUCUGAGAAACUGAAGGCUGGCACCAUAGGUCAAACACAUCUUCUCGGACACCAGUUAGAUUCCUUUGGAACAGUUCCAGAAAGUGGAAGUCUCAAAUCUCCACACAGAAGAACAUUAAGCUUUGAUACUUCUAAAAUGAACCAACCUGACAGCAUUGUGGAUGAAGGUGAAUUGUGUUUCGGAAGACAAAAUGACCCAUUUACAAAUGUGACUGCUUCAUUACCCCAAAAAUUUGCAACACUGCCAAGGAAGAAAAAUCCAUUUGAAGAAAGCAGCGAAACAUGGGACAGCAGCAUGAAUUUAUUUUCAAAACCAAUUGAAAUAAGAAAAGAAAAUAAAAGAGAGAAAAGGGAGAAAGUUAGCCUGUUUGAAAGAGUGACUGGAAAAAAAGAUAGCAGAAGAUCUGAUAAACUUAACAAUGGGGGAUCUGAUAGCCCUUGUGACUUGAAAUCACCUAAUGCAUUUAGUGAAAAUCGCCAGGACUAUUUUGAUUAUGAGUCAACCAAUCCAUUUACAGCAAAAUUCAGGGCUUCAAAUAUAAUGCCAUCUUCAAGGUAAGCUUAAUAUGGGGGAAGUUCUACUAUUUGGGAAAAUCUUGUACU
rnacentral:lncRNA from 1 species